GUGCCUGCUUUUGUUGAUACUUUCUUACUGUAAAGCUCUCCAUAAAUAGUGAAAAUGUUUGGUAAAUUUAUUGCAAUUUAAAAUUGGUGAGUUCCUUUAUUAAAUUAAUUGCUAUGUUAUUGGAGAAUAUUCAUCAAAUUGGAAUUAGAGGAUGUCUACGCACAAGUCAGUGUGGGGGGAAAUGGUUUCAUUUGGUCGGACAAAUGUUGAGUUUGAACAGUUGUAUUCUGCUAGCUAGUUGACUGAAUCCAGCCUCUUUCUAAAGCUAACUUUCUGUGUGUGUAGAGACCCUGAUGCCACAUCCCAUACAUUUCUUUUUUCUUUUCUUUUUUUUUUUUUGGAAACUGGUUGUGUGGUUUCGACUGCAAAGCAGAUCUUAUUUUUGAUUAAUACAUAUGAACAAUUUAAUCCUAUUUCGGAAAAUCAGUCAUAGUUUUUCUGGCAUAGAUAAUUUUCCUGUUGAUUAUUUCAUUAAUCUGGUAAUUUUGAGUAUGAUAGCAUUUCAUUUCAAAUAUACCCCGUAAUCGCCUUAA
rnacentral:lncRNA from 1 species